rnacentral:lncRNA from 1 species
CGAUAUAAUUGAAACAUAACAUCAACAAGAUCAGAUUUUUAAGUUAGGAUUGGUCGGAGCAUCUCCGAGGUCGUUUUUAGAGGUAAAAAAUAGGAACCUUUUUUGAGUUUUCGUUUCACUCUAUUAUUCAAUCUCUUAACUUUACAGCGUUUUCUUUGGACUUUUUGUUUUCUUCUUUCAGUAUAUGUGAUUAGUUCCAGUGUAAAUUACUGGUUAAAGAUUGAAAGUUUACAUUUUUAUCUCAGAGUAAGCUCUUGAAAGUUUCUUGUCGAUUUUGUUGUUUCUCGUCUCUUUGAAGAUAAUGGAUGCAAAAGGAAAGAUAUCAUUAGCAUUGGUUCCAGCUACAUUUUAAGAAUAUCAUGUGGAUCAAACGUGGUAUAAUUCAAGUUUUCAUAAACAAAAUUUACUUGAUUCUUCUCUCAAGAGAGUAACAUUGGGCUUAGUGAUGUCUCACUUGGAGUUGGGUAUAUCAUUUUGAGAAGCUUUUAUGUUCUUAAAGCUGGAAUUUCUAUCUGUCGUUGUUGUGAUUGCUCUGAACCGAAAAAACCAUUUUCAUUGUCUUUGUUACUUCGAUGGCCGAUCGUUUCAACCACCCAAUGGAGCAAAACGUUUGUGUUUGCCUUGUUUUGUGGCUGCUGCAUGUAUGAUUUCCCUGGAUGGAAUUGGAUGUAAUGUUUUAUGUUUUGCAACUCAUGGUUAAUCUUUUUGUUGAGCAACCCGGUUCUGUAGAUUCAAUUCCUCUUUAUCUAAUGAGUCCUGAAUCAGCACAACUUCUCUAAAAAACAGACUUUUCUUCUCAAUGAAUUGAUUUAUUAUCUGUAGAAAACCUUACAUGUAAUCCAGCCACUCGAAAACAAAAUUGAGACAAUGUAUACACUGUUUUGUAUUGCAG